rnacentral:rRNA from 1 species
AUGGGGAAACCCAGUGUGAUUCGUCACACUAUCGUUAACUGAAUACAUAGGUUAACGAGGCGAACCGGGGGAACUGAAACAUCUAAGUACCCCGAGGAAAAGAAAUCAACCGAGAUUCCCCCAGUAGCGGCGAGCGAACGGGGAGCAGCCCAGAGUCUGAAUCAGCUUGUGUGUUAGUGGAACGGUCUGGAAAGUCCGACGGUACAGGGUGAUAGUCCCGUACACCAAAAUGCACAGGCUGUGAACUCGAAGAGUAGGGCGGGACACGUGGUAUCCUGUCUGAAUAUGGGGGGACCAUCCUCCAAGGCUAAAUACUCCUGACUGACCGAUAGUGAACCAGUACCGUGAGGGAAAGGCGAAAAGAACCCCGGCGAGGGGAGUGAAAAAGAACCUGAAACCGUGUACGUACAAGCAGUGGGAGCACCUUCGGGUGUGACUGCGUACCUUUUGUAUAAUGGGUCAGCGACUUAUAUUCUGUAGCAAGGUUAACCGUAUAGGGGAGCCGCAGGGAAACCGAGUCUUAACUGGGCGUUAAGUUGCAGGGUAUAGACCCGAAACCCGGUGAUCUAGCCAUGGGCAGGUUGAAGGUUGGGUAACACUAACUGGAGGACCGAACCGACUAAUGUUGAAAAAUUAGCGGAUGACUUGUGGCUGGGGGUGAAAGGCCAAUCAAACCGGGAGAUAGCUGGUUCUCCCCGAAAGCUAUUUAGGUAGCGCCUCGUGAACUCAUCUUCGGGGGUAGAGCACUGUUUCGGCUAGGGGGUCAUCCCGACUUACCAACCCGAUGCAAACUACGAAUACCGAAGAAUGUUAUCACGGGAGACACACGGCGGGUGCUAACGUCCGUCGUGAAGAGGGAAACAACCCAGACCGCCAGCUAAGGUCCCAAAGUCAUGGUUAAGUGGGAAACGAUGUGGGAAGGCACAGACAGCCAGGAUGUUGGCUUAGAAGCAGCCAUCAUUUAAAGAAAGCGUAAUAGCUCACUGGUCGAGUCGGCCUGCGCGGAAGAUGUAACGGGGCUAAACCAUGCACCGAAGCUGCGGCAGCGACACUAUGUGUUGUUGGGUAGGGGAGCGUUCUGUAAGCCUGCGAAGGUGUGCUGUGAGGCAUGCUGGAGGUAUCAGAAGUGCGAAUGCUGACAUAAGUAACGAUAAAGCGGGUGAAAAGCCCGCUCGCCGGAAGACCAAGGGUUCCUGUCCAACGUUAAUCGGGGCAGGGUGAGUCGACCCCUAAGGCGAGGCCGAAAGGCGUAGUCGAUGGGAAACAGGUUAAUAUUCCUGUACUUGGUGUUACUGCGAAGGGGGGACGGAGAAGGCUAUGUUAGCCGGGCGACGGUUGUCCCGGUUUAAGCAUGUAGGCUGGUUGUCCAGGCAAAUCCGGAUAAUCAAGGCUGAGGUGUGAUGACGAGGCACUACGGUGCUGAAGUAACAAAUGCCCUGCUUCCAGGAAAAGCCUCUAAGCAUCAGGUAACAUCAAAUCGUACCCCAAACCGACACAGGUGGUCAGGUAGAGAAUACCAAGGCGCUUGAGAGAACUCGGGUGAAGGAACUAGGCAAAAUGGUGCCGUAACUUCGGGAGAAGGCACGCUGGUGUGUAGGUGAAGUCCCUGCGGAUGGAGCUGAGACCAGUCGAAGAUACCAGCUGGCUGCAACUGUUUAUUAAAAACACAGCACUGUGCAAACACGAAAGUGGACGUAUACGGUGUGACGCCUGCCCGGUGCCGGAAGGUUAAUUGAUGGGGUUAUCCGUAAGGAGAAGCUCUUGAUCGAAGCCCCGGUAAACGGCGGCCGUAACUAUAACGGUCCUAAGGUAGCGAAAUUCCUUGUCGGGUAAGUUCCGACCUGCACGAAUGGCGUAAUGAUGGCCAGGCUGUCUCCACCCGAGACUCAGUGAAAUUGAACUCGCUGUGAAGAUGCAGUGUACCCGCGGCAAGACGGAAAGACCCCGUGAACCUUUACUAUAGCUUGACACUGAACAUUGAGCCUUGAUGUGUAGGAUAGGUGGGAGGCUUUGAAGCGUGGACGCCAGUCUGCGUGGAGCCAACCUUGAAAUACCACCCUUUAAUGUUUGAUGUUCUAACGUUGGCCCCUGACCGGGGUUGCGGACAGUGUCUGGUGGGUAGUUUGACUGGGGCGGUCUCCUCCCAAAGCGUAACGGAGGAGCACGAAGGUUAGCUAAUCCUGGUCGGACAUCAGGAGGUUAGUGCAAUGGCAUAAGCUAGCUUGACUGCGAGCGUGACGGCGCGAGCAGGUGCGAAAGCAGGUCAUAGUGAUCCGGUGGUUCUGAAUGGAAGGGCCAUCGCUCAACGGAUAAAAGGUACUCCGGGGAUAACAGGCUGAUACCGCCCAAGAGUUCAUAUCGACGGCGGUGUUUGGCACCUCGAUGUCGGCUCAUCACAUCCUGGGGCUGAAGUAGGUCCCAAGGGUAUGGCUGUUCGCCAUUUAAAGUGGUACGCGAGCUGGGUUUAGAACGUCGUGAGACAGUUCGGUCCCUAUCUGCCGUGGGCGCUGGAGAAUUGAGGGGGGCUGCUCCUAGUACGAGAGGACCGGAGUGGACGCAUCACUGGUGUUCGGGUUGUCAUGCCAAUGGCACUGCCCGGUAGCUAAAUGCGGAAGAGAUAAGUGCUGAAAGCAUCUAAGCACGAAACUUGCCCCGAGAUGAGUUCUCCCUGAGACUUUAAGUCUCCUGAAGGAACGUUGAAGACGACGACGUUGAUAGGCCGGGUGUGUAAGCGCAGCGAUGCGUUGAGCUAACCGGUACUAAUGAACCGUGAGGCUUAACCUU